rnacentral:rRNA from 1 species
CAGUCGAACGAAACUUCUUUAUCACCGAGUGCUUGCACUCACCGAUACAUAGUUGAGUGGCGAACGGGUGAGUAACACGUGGGCAACCUGCCCAAAAGAGGGAGAUAACACUUGGAAACAGGUGCUAAUACCGCAUAACCAUAGUUACCGCAUGGUAACUAUGUAAAAGGUGGCUAUACUACCGCUUUUGGAUGGGCCCGCGGCGCAUUAGCUAGUUGGUAGGGUAAAGGCUUACCAAGGCAAUGAUGCGUAACCGAAUUGAGAGGUUGAUCGGCCACAUUGGGACUGAGACACGGCCCAAACUCCUACGGGAGGCAGCAGUAGGGAAUCUUCCACAAUGGGCGAAAGCCUGAUGGAGCAACGCCGCGUGGGUGAAGAAGGUCUUCGGAUCGUAAAACCCUGUUGUUAGAGAAGAAAGUGCGUGAGAGUAACUGUUCACGUUUCGACGGUAUCUAACCAGAAAGCCACGGCUAACUACGUGCCAGCAGCCGCGGUAAUACGUAGGUGGCAAGCGUUAUCCGGAUUUAUUGGGCGUAAAGGGAACGCAGGCGGUCUUUUAAGUCUGAUGUGAAAGCCUUCGGCUUAACCGGAGUAGUGCAUUGGAAACUGGGAGACUUGAGUGCAGAAGAGGAGAGUGGAACUCCAUGUGUAGCGGUGAAAUGCGUAGAUAUAUGGAAGAACACCAGUGGCGAAAGCGGCUCUCUGGUCUGUAACUGACGCUGAGGUUCGAAAGCGUGGGUAGCAAACAGGAUUAGAUACCCUGGUAGUCCACGCCGUANACGAUGAAUGCUAAGUGUUGGAGGGUNUCCGCCCUUCAGUGCUGCAGCUAACGCAAUAAGCAUUCCGCCUGGGGAGUA